rnacentral:tRNA from 1 species
ACUAUUUUGGCAGAUUAAUGCGUUGAACUUAGAAUUCAUUUAUGUAAAUUUAUUACAAAUAGUA